GUAAGUGUAGUUUCAACCAAAACACUAGACCGUGAUUCUAGGAAUGGAAGUUAAACCCUUCUCACUUACC
rnacentral:tRNA from 1 species